AUUGAACGCUAGCGGGAUGCCUUACACAUGCAAGUCGAACGGCAGCGCGGACUUCGGUUUGGCGGCGAGUGGCGAACGGGUGAGUAAUGUAUCGGAACGUGCCCAGUAGCGGGGGAUAACUACUCGAAAGAGUAGCUAAUACCGCAUACGCCCUACGGGGGAAAGGGGGGGAUCGCAAGACCUCUCACUAUUGGAGCGGCCGAUAUCGGAUUAGCUAGUUGGUGAGGUAAAGGCUCACCAAGGCGACGAUCCGUAGCUGGUUUGAGAGGACGACCAGCCACACUGGGACUGAGACACGGCCCAGACUCCUACGGGAGGCAGCAGUGGGGAAUUUUGGACAAUGGGGGCAACCCUGAUCCAGCAAUGCCGCGUGAGUGAAGAAGGCCUUCGGGUUGUAAAGCUCUUUCGGCCGGGACGAAAUCGCUCUGGUGAAUAUCCAGGGUGGAUGACGGUACCGGAAUAAGAAGCACCGGCUAACUACGUGCCAGCCGCCGCAGUAA
rnacentral:rRNA from 1 species